rnacentral:rRNA from 1 species
AGAGUUUGAUCAUGGCUCAGGAUGAACGCUGGCGGCGUGCUUAACACAUGCAAGUCGAACGAACCUUCGGGUUAGUGGCGGACGGGUGAGUAACGCGUGAGAAUCUGCCCUCAGGAGGGGGAUAACGGCUGGAAACGGCCGCUAAUACCCCAUAUGCCGAGAGGUGAAAUGAAUUUCGCCUGAGGAUGAGCUCGCGUCUGAUUAGCUAGUUGGUAGGGUAAAGGCCUACCAAGGCUUCGAUCAGUAGCUGGUCUGAGAGGAUGAUCAGCCACACUGGGACUGAGACACGGCCCAGACUCCUACGGGAGGCAGCAGUGGGGAAUUUUCCGCAAUGGGCGAAAGCCUGACGGAGCAACGCCGCGUGAGGGAUGAAGGCCUCUGGGCUGUAAACCUCUUUUAUCAAGGAAGAAGAUCUGACGGUACUUGAUGAAUAAGCCACGGCUAAUUCCGUGCCAGCAGCCGCGGUAAUACGGGAGUGGCAAGCGUUAUCCGGAAUUAUUGGGCGUAAAGCGUCCGCAGGCGGUCUUACAAGUCUGUCGUUAAAGCGUGGAGCUUAACUCCAUUUCAGCGAUGGAAACUGUAAGACUAGAGUGUGGUAGGGGCAGAGGGAAUUCCCGGUGUAGCGGUGAAAUGCGUAGAUAUCGGGAAGAACACCAGUGGCGAAGGCGCUCUGCUGGGCCAUAACUGACGCUCAUGGACGAAAGCCAGGGGAGCGAAAGGGAUUAGAUACCCCUGUAGUCCUGGCCGUAAACGAUGAACACUAGGUGUCGGGGGAAUCGACCCCCUCGGUGUCGUAGCCAACGCGUUAAGUGUUCCGCCUGGGGAGUACGCACGCAAGUGUGAAACUCAAAGGAAUUGACGGGGGCCCGCACAAGCGGUGGAGUAUGUGGUUUAAUUCGAUGCAACGCGAAGAACCUUACCAGGGUUUGACAUCCUGCGAAUCCCUUGGAAACGAGGGAGUGCCUUCGGGAACGCAGUGACAGGUGGUGCAUGGCUGUCGUCAGCUCGUGUCGUGAGAUGUUGGGUUAAGUCCCGCAACGAGCGCAACCCACGUCUUUAGUUGCCAGCAUUUAGUUGGGCACUCUAGAGAGGCUGCCGGUGAUAAACCGGAGGAAGGUGUGGAUGACGUCAAGUCAUCAUGCCCCUUACAUCCUGGGCUACACACGUACUACAAUGCUACGGACAAAGGGCAGCAAACUCGCGAGAGCUAGCAAAUCCCAUAAACCGUGGCUCAGUUCAGAUCGUAGGCUGCAACUCGCCUACGUGAAGGAGGAAUCGCUAGUAAUCGCAGAUCAGCAUUGCUGCGGUGAAUACGUUCCCGGGUCUUGUACACACCGCCCGUCACACCAUGGGAGUGUAUUGCACCAGAAGCAGGUAGCCUGACUCGCAAGAGGGGGCGCCUACCACGGUGUGGUCCAUGACUGGGGUGAAGUCGUAACAAGGUAGCCGUACGGGAACGUGCGGCUGGAUCACCUCCUU